GCUGACGUCAGCGCGUUCUUGGCGAGUGGGGCGGGGCCGGUGACUCACCCGGACCGCGCCCCUUGCUCCCCGCCCCCGCCGGGCCGCGCGCACGUGAGCGCGCGCUGCGCGGGUUGCUAAUUUUAGCUCCGGCGGCUUCCCUGGGGUCCCGUGAGGUGAAGGGGAGUGGAGGGGACGAGGCGGGCAAGGAGCGUGGCUCUCCUCGUUCCUUCCUGCCCCGCCGUGGGUUUUCCUCGAGGACCGGGCCCGGCCCGAGGGGUGGGGGCCCGCGGGCGACUCGAGGUGCUGGAACGCGGGCGCUUACCGAGGCGAGAACCUAGGGGGUCUCCCCGCGUGGAAACCCCGCCCCUCCCUCGGCCUUGGACACAGUCGGCGCUCAAUAAAUGAAUCGAAGUUUCUUCCUGGACGGCGACCCUGGGCUUUCGGGAGAAAGCCAGAGGGGCAGGGUUCUGGAAGGUUCCCUGGCGGCUGGGGUGCGGUGCGGGCUGAAAUCCGAGCAGGAGCUGGGCGCGGCCCUCGGGGACCGACUAUGGGGGACGGCGCCGCGGGAGUGGGGCAAGUGCGGGCCUGGACCCUUGGGGCCACCGCGUCAGCAGUCGGCGGGGCCGUGGGAGGGACGGUGCCCGCCCGCUGUGAAGGGCGGUGGCCCUUCUAGGGUCAGGCCAAGCGCAGAGGCCUGAAGGUCACCGGGUGAGGAGCCAGCGCGGGUGCCUCAGAAGCCAAGCGCCCCGUCCCGAGCCCUGCGCGAACCAGUAUGACCUUCCAGGAACCAGAUGAGAGCUGCGUUUUCAAGAAGCAGUGCCAGACACCUUGGGAAAUCGACACUCUCCUGUCCUUGGGUGGGGGUGGGGGUCCUGGAAAGAAGCUCCGUCAGCGUAAAGUGAACUCUUAGCUUUGACUUUGCAGAGGGAUCCGUUGUGUCACAGUGACCCGCAUUCCUGUCAUUGGUGUGGUGUGUUUCACAGCCAUUGCCUCCCUAGGUAGAUUGUAAAACGGCGUUCGUAGAGCCUUUGACCUCAUAAUAUUAUGUUGGAAAUUACACGAUAGUAAACAUAAUGAUAAAUGGGGAAUGUUAAAUGGUAGUAUGGGAACAUUUUCUAAUGGUUGCAUCCUUAAAAUUUUCUGUUUCAAGUUUUUAAAGGCUAUAGCCUUAAAAAAAGCUGACUGUAGGAAAAUGGUGGAAAGAGUCGUGGAAUAAAGGUAGCUUUGGGGAUUAUGACGUGAAUAAAUGACAGAAAUUAGUAUGUGUCAUUUUCCUUUGUUUUCCAAAAAUACCACAAUGUCCUUUGUAAAUUGGAAGUUUUUCAGAUGUGCAUGUGGAAGCUGCAAGAUUUUUAGGGCUUUAUAUCCAUCUUAAAACUGGUUUUAAAGGAUUGGCAAUUACAAUCUAAUACUGGUAUUUGUAGCAAAUACAUCCAGAGGUAGGCAUACUGGUUUUUUAAUAUUGUUAUAUGGCAACAAAGGUCUCUUUGUCCUAAUUUGUAGGACAAAGUUGCAACCACAUUUUCCUCAAUGUAAUGCUUAUGGGGGGAGGGUCUUAAAUUGAUUUGAAAGCAGGUUGUAUUAGGAUUCUCCAGAGAAACAGUACCAAUAGGAUAUACAGGCAUACCUCAUUUUAUUGUGUCUCACUUUAUUGCACUUUGCAGAUAAUGUGUUAUUUACAAAUUGGUACCGUUGGUACCGUUUUUUCCAACAGCAUGUGCUCACUUUAUGUCUGUCAGCAUUUUUUUAGCAAGAAAAUAUGUUUAAAUGAAGGUGUGUACUUUUUUUAAAGUCAUAAUGCUGUUGCACACUUAAGACUACAGUGUAGUGUAAACAUAACAUAUAUGCACUGAGAAACCAACAAAUUUGUGUGGAUCCCUUUACUGUGAUAUUUACUUUACUGCAGUGGUCUUGAACCAAACCUGCAAUAUCUCUGAGGCAUGCCUGUGUGUGCACAUAUAUGAUUUAUUAUAAGGAAUUGACUUAUGCAGUGAUGGAGGCUGGCAAGUCCCAAGAUCUGCAAGGUGAGUAAGCAAGCUUGAGACCUAGGAGAGCUGAUGGUGUAGUUCUAGUCCAAGUCCAAAGGCAGGAAAAAGCCCAUGUCACAGUUCAAAAGUAGGAAGAAUUCACUCACUUUGGGGAGGGUCAAACUUUUCAUUCUAUUCAGGCCUUUAAAUGAUUGGAUAAAGCCCACCUACAUUAUAGAAGGCACUCUGCUUUCGUCUGUCAAUUUAAAUGUUAGUCUCAUCCAAAACACCCUUACAAAGAUAACCCCAGAAUAAUGUUUGACCAAAAUAUCUGGGCACCCCAUAAUCCAGUCAAGUUUGACACAGAAUUAACCGUCACACUGACCUAUCUGAUUUCUAAAGAUCUUGGCCUUAAAAUUGUGACUUUGGUCUCUAAGGCAAUUAUGAGGGUGAGUUCUUUGUAAAUGGUUUCUCGGAUGUAUUUGCUUCUAUUGAAACCUUAGUAGAGAGGACCCGUCAUUUAAUUACCUCUUCCUAUGUUCUUGAUAGUCUUUAUUUUUAAAAUCUAGUUCAGUUGAAUAUAAUAAUUUCUUUCACCUUUUUUAGAAGCUGAGCUACAGUUAUGUUUUAGGAAGCUAGUUGAUCUAUCCAGUAAUCUAUCAAGUAAUGUUGAUCUGUCAAGCAAGUUAAUCUAUCAAGUAAUGAAGCUAGCUGGUAUUAAAUAAUUCUUUGUUUUUAACUAUUAAAUACAGGGCUUUGGGUAUGUAAUAUAAGCAGCAUUAUGGUAAUAUUCUGGAAGUUUCAAUUAUUGCAAUGAUUGAGAGCAUUAGAGUGUUAUUUUCUGUUUGAGAUAUUUUUUAAGAUAGUGUUGCUUCAGGAACAUUGUAGUCAUAAUAUUUUGCAGUCUAAAUCCUUAUUUUAAAAAAUCUCAUAACUUUUUAUAUCCUAUUUAAAAGUAUUGAUAUUGAUAUAUUGGAUUGGAUUAUUAGCUUUAUAAAUAAAUACAAUCACUGGACCUCUGUCAGUCCCAAAAACAAAACUUGUUUUGCACCUAAAUUGUUUAUUUUAUUUUAUUUUAUUUUUAGCUGAGUAGUUAAGAUUUCAGGCCUUUUUAAAAAGUCAUGUGUUUAGGUAUAAUUUACAUGCAGUAAAAUUCACCCUUUUAGGUAUAAAGUUCUGGAAUUUUGACAAACAUAGUCAUGUAAUCAUUACCACAAUCAAGACAAAACAUUUCCAUCACCCCAGGAAGUUCCCUUGUGCUCCUUUGCAGUCAAUC
rnacentral:tRNA from 10 species